GGGUCAGUAGGUUGGUCGUGCCACCGGUACGUACUGGUCUCACUGAUUCCUCCUUCCCGAAGAACCGUAAUGCCAUUAAUUUGGUGUUGCGGGGAAACAGGACUGUUACUUUGAAAAAAUUAGAGUGUUUAGAGCAAGCUAACGCUUGAAUACAUUAGCAUGGAAUAAUGAAAUAGGACGUUCGAUCCUAUUUUGUUGGUUUCUAGGAUUGACGUA
rnacentral:rRNA from 1 species